rnacentral:rRNA from 1 species
UAGGGAAUCUUCCGCAAUGGGCGAAAGCUUGACGGAGCAACGCCGCGUGAGUGAUGAAGGUCUUCGGAUCGUAAAACUCUGUUAUUAGGGAAGAACAAAUGUGUAAGUAACUAUGCACGUCUUGACGGUACCUAAUCAGAAAGCCACGGCUAACUACGUGCCAGCAGCCGCGGUAAUACGUAGGUGGCAAGCGUUAUCCGGAAUUAUUGGGCGUAAAGCGCGCGUAGGCGGUUUUUUAAGUCUGAUGUGAAAGCCCACGGCUCAACCGUGGAGGGUCAUUGGAAACUGGAAAACUUGAGUGCAGAAGAGGAAAGUGGAAUUCCAUGUGUAGCGGUGAAAUGCGCAGAGAUAUGGAGGAACACCAGUGGCGAAGGCAACUUUCUGGUCUGUAACUGACGCUGAUGUGCGAAAGCGUGGGGAUCAAACAGG